rnacentral:rRNA from 1 species
GACGAACGCUGGCGGCGUGCCUAAUACAUGCAAGUUGAGCGCUGAAGGUUGGUACUUGUACCGACUGGAUGAGCAGCGAACAGGUGAGUAACGCGUGGGAAAUCUGCCUUUGAGCGGGGGACAACAUUUGGAAACGAAUGCUAAUACCGCAUAAAAACUUUAAACACAAGUUUUAAGUUUGAAAGAUGCAAUUGCAUCACUCAAAGAUGAUCCCGCGUUGUAUUAGCUAGUUGGUGAGGUAAAGGCUCACCAAGGCGAUGAUACAUAGCCGACCUGAGAGGGUGAUCGGCCACAUUGGGACUGAGACACGGCCCAAACUCCUACGGGAGGCAGCAGUAGGGAAUCUUCGGCAAUGGACGAAAGUCUGACCGAGCAACGCCGCGUGAGUGAAGAAGGUUUUCGGAUCGUAAAACUCUGUUGGUAGAGAAGAACGUUGGUGAGAGUGGAAAGCUCAUCAAGUGACGGUAACUACCCAGAAAGGGACGGCUAACUACGUGCCAGCAGCCGCAGUAA